rnacentral:lncRNA from 1 species
GCACUAGAUCAACUAGAUGGUUCCCCGCGCGUUGUGGCGGGACGUUAUAGCACUCCAAUCAGCUCGCGUGAAGGGUGCACAUUAAAAAAGAAAAGGAAGGAAAAGCAAGAGAAAGUAUCGUCGAUGUGGUGGUACAAUGUUUUAUCACCUACUUGAAAUUAAGGAUAAACUCAUGAUUAACUAACAUGCAAUUUAGAAAAAACAUCUUAUCAAAUGAUGUUACUUAGUAUGACCGAGUCAUCUUAUUGACUAUACAAACCUAUGCACCUAUAUAUAGAAUAAACUUUGGGAACAUUCCAUGUCUAUAUGCAAAUAGACUUCAAAAGCAACAAUGUUAUUACAAAAAGGGGGGUGCAAAAUUGUUAAUAUUUGUAAGGAAUGAUGACAUAUAAAAAAUGCCACUCAAAAACAUCAUGAGUAUAUUCUCUAUUAACAUUGGAAAUCAAGGGCGGCAUUGACCCAAAUCCUGCAACCACAUACAUAUACCUAAAAAAACAAAUUGAGAACCCUCUAUAUUUGCAACAAAUGUGAAAGCAUAAGAACUAAAAUUGAAAAGAGCCGCAUCAGUCAAGAAAAGGUCCAACCCUAAAAUGAUUCAUGUGUAUUAGAAUGUAAAUAAAGCAAAGCUGAAACUAAAUUAAAGUCUGACAGGAACAAUAGUUUAGAAGAAUCAUCAAAGGGGCAACCACGCACAAAUCACAUUAAACUGAACCAAUUAUUUAUUUUCGAAAUAGGACUGCAAAUUAUACAGUUCAAGGAACAUAUACCUAAAAGAAUAAUGGAACCCAAUUAAGAUAAUCUAAUCGAUAAAAAAAUGUUCGAUAUGAAGAAUAUUACCGUACAAUAGACAACUGGCUCAAGGUCUCAAGGGACGGGCAUGUAGCUCAAAGAACUCAAUGUUAGCAAGCAAAAUCAUCAACAUCGGGCAAAUUAGUCCAGGGCCCUCAACAUAAACAUCAAAAUAAUGAACUAUGAAGAAAGUAGACAAUAGUGUGUUAUGCAAAGUCAUAUUAUUUUAGGUACCAAAAGGAAUAGAAGACUCCAAGAAUAGUCCUAAAAUAGUUCGCAUCCAAAACGCAUAGUUGCAUUAACAUUUUGAGUUCUUGUAAUGACUACGGUAAGAUUGUUACUACAAAUAGGAGUAUAUGAGAAAUUAGACAGAUGUGCAAAUCCAUAUGAGUGACGAGGAAAAUAUUUCUUCAUACCUUCAUGCUUAAAUACCUCCAUAUCUUUAAAAACCAAAUUUAUGGUGCCGCGAUAGUCAAAAGUUACUCACAUCUAGUUGUGCUGAUGAUUAAAGCAAGAGUUAAUUACCCAAUUGUGCCAUCACUGAUCAGUUCAUCUAUAGACUAACUACCAUGAGCAGUACCAAGGCUUCUUUCUUCUCUUGAGAUCUAUAAUACCACAAGAACAUCAGUAUCAGACUGUUGAUUCGGAACAAUUAAUCAUACAAACAAUGGAAGAUGUCGACCGGCUGGUAAUACUCACCUCUAUAAUUGAAACACUGCGGCACCGAUCCGCCACUGGUACCGGGCCCACACCGCGUCCCUUGAUAUCCCGGCCUCCUCUUGAUAAAGCUCUUCUAGUUCAUCUGACAUGAUCUGGGCUAGAGAUGAAAAGGUGGCCCCUGCUGCAUCCGUGAUGGCGAUGCAUGCGUGUAUUCCUGGAUCCCGUGAUUGCUGCUACUACUUGAGCGAUGGGUUAGCCCCAAUGGCCUUAUUUUUACCACGGACAUAAAUUGUAGGCCUAAUAACGCAAAGAAAUACAAACUUGGGGACCCUUCACCUUGUUCGCCGCCUUUGUCGAAUCCGCUUUCGCUCACCUACCGCAAAUUACAGAAACUAAAUCAACUCCAGCUGGAACCAGGC